AGAUAAGUUCGGAUUACAGAAAUUAGUAAAUAAAGAUUGAGAUCUUGGUUUAUUAACUUCUGUGAUUUCNNNNNNNNNNNNNNNNNNNNNNNNNNNNNNNNNNNNNNNNNNNNNNNNNNNNNNNNNNNNNNNNNNNNNNNNNNNNNNNNNNNNNNNNNNNNNNNNNNGAGGUUAACCGUAUAGGGGAGCCGUAGAGAAAUCGAGUCUUAAUAGGGCGUUUAGUUGCUGGGUAUAGACCCGAAACCAGGCGAUCUAUCCAUGAGCAGGUUGAAGGUUGGGUAACACUAACUGGAGGACCGAACCCACUGUCGUUGAAAAGCCAGGGGAUGACUUGUGGAUAGGGGUGAAAGGCUAAUCAAGCCUGGUGAUAGCUGGUUCUCCCCGAAAGCUAUUUAGGUAGCGCCUCGGACGAAUACCAUAGGGGGUAGAGCACUGUUUCGGCUAGGGGGUCAUCCCGACUUACCAAACCGAUGCAAACUCCGAAUACCUAUGAGUACUAUCCGGGAGACAGACUGCGGGUGCUAACGUCCGUAGUCAAGAGGAAAACAAUCCAGACCGCCAGCUAAGGCCCCAAAAUCAUAGUUAAGUGGGAAACGAUGUGGGAAGGCAUAGACAGCUAGGAGGUUGGCUUAGAAGCAGCCACCCUUUAAAGAAAGCGUAAUAGCUCACUAGUCGAGUCGGCCUGCGCGGAAGAUGUAACGGGGCUAAAACUAUGUGCCGAAGCUGCGGAUGUAUACUUUGUAUACGUGGUAGGGGAGCGUUCUGUAAGCCGAUGAAGGUGUGUUGAGAAGCAUGCUGGAGGUAUCAGAAGUGCGAAUGCUGACGUGAGUAACGACAAAACGGGUGAAAAACCCGUUCGCCGAAAGACCAAGGGUUCCAGUCCAACGUUAAUCGGGGCUGGGUGAGUCGACCCCUAAGGCGAGGCCGAAAGGCGUAGUCGAUGGGAAAAUGGUUAAUAUUCCAUUACUUCUGUGUAAUGCGAUGAGAGGACGGAGAAGGCUAAAUCAGCCUGGCGUUGGUUGUCCAGGUGAAAGGAUGUAGGCAUGUAUCUUAGGCAAAUCCGGGGUACUCUAUGCUGAGAUCUGAUAGCAAGCUGUACUUGUACAGCGAAGUGGUUGAUGCCAUGCUUCCAGGAAAAGUCUCUAAGCUUCAGUUACACAGGAAUCGUACCCGAAACCGACACAGGUGGUCAGGUCGAGUAGACCAAGGCGCUUGAGAGAACUCUGCUGAAGGAACUAGGCAAAAUGGUACCGUAACUUCGGGAGAAGGUACGCUGUUGUUGGUGAUGGAACUCGCUUCCUGAGCUGACGACAGCCGCAGAAACCAGGCCGCUGCAACUGUUUAUUAAAAACAUAGCACUCUGCAAACACGAAAGUGGACGUAUAGGGUGUGAUGCCUGCCCGGUGCUGGAAGGUUAAUUGAUGGGGUUAGCGUAAGCGAAGCUCUUGAUCGAAGCCCCAGUAAACGGCGGCCGUAACUAUAACGGUCCUAAGGUAGCGAAAUUCCUUGUCGGGUAAGUUCCGACCUGCACGAAUGGCAUAAUGAUGGCGGCGCUGUCUCCAGCAGAGGCUCAGUGAAAUCGAAAUCGCUGUGAAGAUGCAGUGUACCCGCGGCUAGACGGAAAGACCCCGUGAACCUUUACUGCAGCUUGACACUGAACUUUGACCUUACUUGUGUAGGAUAGGUGGGAGGCUUUGAAGCUGGAACGCUAGUUCCAGUGGAGCCGUCCUUGAAAUACCACCCUGGUAAUGUUGAGGUUCUAACUCUGUCCCGUGAUCCGGGACGAGGACCGUGUCUGGUGGGUAGUUUGACUGGGGCGGUCUCCUCCUAAAGAGUAACGGAGGAGUACGAAGGUGCGCUCAGCGUGGUCGGAAAUCACGCGUAGAGUAUAAAGGCAAAAGCGCGCUUAACUGCGAGACCCACAAGUCGAGCAGGUACGAAAGUAGGUCUUAGUGAUCCGGUGGUUCUGUAUGGAAGGGCCAUCGCUCAACGGAUAAAAGGUACUCUGGGGAUAACAGGCUGAUACCGCCCAAGAGUUCAUAUCGACGGCGGUGUUUGGCACCUCGAUGUCGGCUCAUCUCAUCCUGGGGCUGAAGCAGGUCCCAAGGGUAUGGCUGUUCGCCAUUUAAAGAGGUACGCGAGCUGGGUUUAGAACGUCGUGAGACAGUUCGGUCCCUAUCUACCGUGGGCGCUGGAAAUUUGAGAGGAUCUGCUCCUAGUACGAGAGGACCAGAGUGGACGAACCUCUGGUGUACCGGUUGUGACGCCAGUCGCAUCGCCGGGUAGCUAUGUUCGGAAGGGAUAACCGCUGAAAGCAUCUAAGCGGGAAGCCUACCUCAAGAUAAGAUUUCCCUAGGACUUUAUGUCCUCUAAAGAGCCGUUCGAGACUAGGACGUUGAUAGGUUGGAUGUGGAAGCAUAGUGAUAUGUGAAGCUGACCAAUACUAAUUGCUCGUGAGGCUUGACUAU
rnacentral:rRNA from 1 species